AUACGAAAGGUGCAAGCGUUGUUCGGAAUCACUGGGCGUAAAGCGCGCGCAGGCGGCUAUUUAAGUUGGAUGUGAAAGCCUACGGCUCAACCGUAGAACUGCAUCCAAAACUAUUUAGCUAGAGUGUGGGAGAGGAAGAUGGAAUUAGUUGUGUAGGGGUAAAAUCCGUAGAGAUAACUAGGAAUACCAAAAGCGAAGGCAAUCUUCUGGAACACUACUGACGCUGAGGCGCGAAAGCGUGGGGAGCAAACAGGAUUAGAAACCCGGGUAGUCC
rnacentral:rRNA from 1 species